CAGGCCUCUCCUCUGUAUUUGUUCUGUCUUGGCACUGAAAAAAGCGACUAGCAUGUGACCUUCAGUGAUUCCCUAGAGACAUCCUCCAGGUCUGCUGUGGCUGUGGCUGUUACCCUGGACACUAGUGACAGAGUGGCCAUGUAUUGCCAGGGCUCCCGGUGGUGUCAGAUUUUGGGCAGCAGGUGGACCUUGAGGUGAUGGGAAGUCCGGAAAGUCUUCGCACAGUACGGGCAGUCCUUCAUGGCCGAGCCCAGGUUCCUGUCUCGAAGCAGCGCCUGCUGCUGGACGCCACCGGCUCUCCCGGCCUCCUCGCCGAUGUCUGCAGUGGAUGAGAAGCGUUCUCACAUCACUUCAGCACAUGUCAGAAGUUGUUCACACCAAAACUGCUAACACCACACAAAGUUAAACAUGUCAAUACUACACCUGUCUAUUUCAUUCUUUGAAUCUGACAGAAUGCUGACAAUUCAUGUAUUUUCUUGUUAUUCUCUUAAAUUAUUUCAUCUUUCCUAUCAUCAUUUUAAGCAGCAUAUGGUACCUUUAUAUUGAACUGAAUUAAACAAGAGAAGAAACAGCUGU